rnacentral:rRNA from 1 species
UACGGAGGGUGCAAGCGUUAUCCGGAUUCACUGGGCUUAAAGGGUGCGUAGGCGGACAGGUAAGUCAGUGGUGAAAUCUCUGGGCUUAACCCAGAAACUGCCGUUGAUACCAUCAUUCUUGAAUAUCGUGGAGGUGAGCGGAAUAUGUCAUGUAGCGGUGAAAUGCUUAGAUAUGACAUAGAACACCGAUUGCGAAGGCAGCUCACUACGCGAUUAUUGACACUGAGGCACGAAAGCGUGGGGAUCAAACAGG